UACGGGGGGAGCAAGCGUUGUUCGGAUUUACUGGGCGUAAAGGGCGCGUAGGCGGUCGUGACAAGUCACUUGUGAAAUCUCCGGGCUUAACUCGGAACGGUCAAGUGAUACUGUCGGACUAGAGUACAGAAGGGGCAACUGGAAUUCUCGGUGUAGCGGUGAAAUGCGUAGAUAUCGAGAGGAACACCUGCGGCGAAGGCGGGUUGCUGGGCCGAAACUGACGCUGAGGAGCGAAAGCGUGGGUAGCAAACAGG
rnacentral:rRNA from 1 species